GCCUGGCUAGCUCAGUUGGUUAAGCGUCUGACUUUGACUCAGACUGCGAUCUCGUAAUUCAUGGGUUUGAGUCCUGCAUCAGGCU
rnacentral:tRNA from 1 species